UACGUAGGGGGCUAGCGUUGUCCGGAUUUAUUGGGCGUAAAGAGCGUGUAGGCGGCCAUGUAGGUCCGGUGUGAAAACUCGAGGCUUAACCUCGAGAUGUCAUCGGAAACCAUUUGGCUAGAGUCCGGAAGAGGAGAGUGGAAUUCCUGGUGUAGCGGUGAAAUGCGCAGAUAUCAGGAGGAACACCUAUGGCGAAGGCAGCUCGCUGGGACGGCACUGACGCCUGAGACGCGAAAGCGUGGGGAGCAAACAGG
rnacentral:rRNA from 1 species